rnacentral:rRNA from 1 species
GAUGAACGCUGGCGGUAUGCUUAACACAUGCAAGUCGAACGGACUCUUCGGAGUUAGUGGCGGCCGGGUGAGUAACGCGUGAGAAUCUGGCUUUGGGUUCGGGACAACCACUGGAAACGGUGGCUAAUACCGGAUGUGCCGUGAGGUAAAAGAGAAAUUGCCUGAAGAUGAGUUCGGGGUUGAUUAGCUAGUUGGUGAGGUAAAGGCUCACCAAGGCAGCGAUCAGUCGCUGGUCUGAGAGGAUGACCAGCCAAACUGGGACUGAGACGCGGCCCAGACUCCUACGGGAGGCAGCAGUGGGGAAUUUUCCGCAAUGGGCGAAAGCCUGACGGAGCAAUACCGCGUGAGGAAAGAAGGCUCUUGGGUUGUAAACCUCUUUUCUUAGGGAAGAACAAAAUGACGGUACCUAAGGAAUCAGCAUCGGCUAACUCCGUG